GUGCCAGCAGCCGCGGUAACACGGGGGGAGCAAACGUUGUUCGGAAUCACUGGGCGUAAAGGGCGCGUAGGCGGCCUCGUAAGUGGUGUGUGAAAUGUCCUGGCUCAACCAGGGAAUUGCGCUCCAAACUGCGGGGCUCGAGGGCAGUAGAGGAAGCUGGAAUUCCAGGUGUAGCGGUGAAAUGCGUAGAUAUCUGGAGGAACACCGUUGGCGAAGGCGAGCUUCUGGGCUGUUCCUGACGCUGAUGCGCGAAAGCUGGGGGAGCAAACAGGAUUAGAUACCCUGGUAGUCC
rnacentral:rRNA from 1 species